rnacentral:rRNA from 1 species
UACGGGGGGGGCAAGCGUUGUUCGGAAUUACUGGGCGUAAAGGGCGCGUAGGCGGUUGGAUAAGUCAGCUGUGAAAACCACGGGCUUAACUCGUGGCCUGCAGUUGAGACUGUCUGGCUUGAGUAUGGCAGAGGGGGGUGGAAUUCCGCGUGUAGCAGUGAAAUGCGUAGAGAUGUGGAGGAACACCGAUGGCGAAGGCAGCCUCCUGGGCCAGCACUGACGCUCAUGCACGAAAGCGUGGGGAGCAAACAGG